rfam:Schistosoma rodhaini strain Burundi genome assembly, scaffold: SROB_scaffold0000360
AUCCAGCUGGCGAGUCUCAAAUAGGAUGGGACGCGCGUCCUGGAU